rnacentral:rRNA from 1 species
GACGUAGGGCGCGAGCGUUGUCCGGAUUUAUUGGGCGUAAAGAGCUCGUAGGCGGCUUGUCGCGUCGUUCGUGAAAACUCACAGCUUAACUGUGGGCGUGCGGGCGAUACGGGCAGACUGGAGUACUGCAGGGGAGACUGGAAUUCCUGGUGUAGCGGUGGAAUGCGCAGAUAUCAGGAGGAACACCGGUGGCGAAGGCGGGUCUCUGGGCAGUAACUGACGCUGAGGAGCGAAAGCGUGGGGAGCGAACAGG